AACGAACGCUGGCGGCAUGCCUAACACAUGCAAGUCGAACGAGACCUUCGGGUCUAGUGGCGCACGGGUGCGUAACGCGUGGGAAUCUGCCCUUGGGUUCGGAAUAACAGUGAGAAAUUACUGCUAAUACCGGAUGAUGUCUUCGGACCAAAGAUUUAUCGCCCAGGGAUGAGCCCGCGUAGGAUUAGCUAGUUGGUGGGGUAAUGGCCUCCCAAGGCGACGAUCCUUAGCUGGUCAGAGAGGAUGAUCAGCCACCCUGGGACUGAGACACGGCCCAGACUCCUACGGGAGGCAGCAGUGGGGAAUAUUGGACAAUGGGCGCAAGCCUGAUCCAGCAAUGCCGCGUGAGUGAUGAAGGCCUUAGGGUUGUAAAGCUCUUUUACCCGGGAUGAUAAUGACAGUACCGGGAGAAUAAGCUCCGGCUAACUCCGUG
rnacentral:rRNA from 1 species